rnacentral:rRNA from 1 species
GACGAACGCUGGCGGCGUGCCUAAUACAUGCAAGUCGAACGCAGUGGGGACGGGUGAGUAACCCGUGGGUAACCUCCCAUCAGAGGGGAUAACACUUGGAAACAGGUGCUAAACCGAUACUGAUGGAUGGACCCGCGGUGCAUUGGCUAGUUUGUGAGGAAACGGCUCACCAAGGCCACGAUGGAACGCCAACCUGCUGGGGUUAGCUGACACGAGAGGACUGAGACACGGCCCAGACUCCUACGGGAGGCAGCAGUAGGGAUUCUUCUGCAAUGGACGAAAGUCUGACCGAGCAACGCCGCGGGAGUUAAGAAGGUUUUCGGAGCGUAAAACUCUGUUGUUAGAGAAGCGGUAUCUAACCAGAAAGCCACGGCUAACUACGUGCCAGCCGCCGCGGUAAUAC